AGAAAGUCCCGGACUGCGGCUGUGCGGAUGGCAAGCUUGCUUGCACAGACGCACGGACAUAGGACGGGCUGGACAGUACGAGUACGAGGGAUGCCGUCAGGCAGACCGGAAAGUGCGAGUACUGUCAGCAGAUGGCGGGAGUGCGAAGCAAGGAGCCAUCUGACUUUCG
rnacentral:sRNA from 1 species